ensembl:piRNA 21ur-4169 ncRNA
UUCCAUUGAUAAUUGAUGAUU